rnacentral:rRNA from 1 species
GCCAGUGGUGAUAACACGUUAAAUGCACCAGUUCCCAGUGAAUCACUGAAGAUUAGUAAGGUUGCGCAUGUUUGGUAUCCGAAAAGUUGACCAUCUAGGCAUUCGCGUACUGCUGAUG